CAAAAAUUUUCCGUGAAUCCAAACAUUUUUCCGUAUAUCUUAAAUUUUCGCCAUUUCUUCAAAAUAUUUUUCUAAAUUCCAAAAAUUUCCCAAAAUUUUUAUAAAUAUAAACUAUCAAUUACCUGAAUCUCGUGAUUCUCCUACAAAAAGCAUCGUUGGAAAUGUGAUUUAUCACGUAUUAUUUUACAACUAAAAGGGCACUUCUGCCCCCCCCUAGCAAAAGGCAAGGGGGGCAGCCGCCCCCCCUGCCCCCCCAGUUCCGGCGUCCCUG
rnacentral:lncRNA from 1 species